rnacentral:misc_RNA from 1 species
AACGCACAUUGCGCCCUUUGGUAUUCCGAAGGGCAUGCCUGUUCGAGCGUCAUUUCAACCCUCAAGCUCUGCUUGGUAUUGAGUCCUGCCAGCAAUGGUAGACUCUAAAAUCAGUAGCGGUGCCACUGAGCUCUAAGCGUAGUAAUUUCUCUCGCUAUAGGUGCCUGGUGGACGCUUGCUAGAAACCCCCCAUUUCUAAGGUUGACCUCGGAUCAGGUAGGGAUACCCGCUGAACUUAA